UUUUCCUACGGGGGGCAGCAGUAGGGAAUCUUGCACAAUGGGCGAAAGCCUGAUGCAGCCAUGCCGCGUGUGUGAAGAAGGUCUUCGGAUCGUAAAACCCUUUUGUUAGAGAAGAAAGUGCGUGUGCUUAUCUCUUCACCUUUCGACGGUAUCUAACCAGAAAGCCCCGGCUAACUACGUGCCAGCAGCCGCGGUAAUACGUAGGUGGCACGCGUUAUCCGGAUUUAUUGGGCGUAAAGCGAACGCAGGCGGU
rnacentral:rRNA from 1 species